AUACAUGCAGUCGAGCGAACUGAUUAGAAGCUUGCUUCUAUGACGUUAGCGGCGGACGGGUGAGUAACACGUGGGCAACCUGCCUGUAAGACUGGGAUAACUUCGGGAAACCGAAGCUAAUACCGGAUAGGAUCUUCUCCUUCAUGGGAGAUGAUUGAAAGAUGGUUUCGGCUAUCACUUACAGAUGGGCCCGCGGUGCAUUAGCUAGUUGGUGAGGUAACGGCUCACCAAGGCAACGAUGCAUAGCCGACCUGAGAGGGUGAUCGGCCACACUGGGACUGAGACACGGCCCAGACUCCUACGGGAGGCAGCAGUAGGGAAUCUUCCGCAAUGGACGAAAGUCUGACGGAGCAACGCCGCGUGAGUGAUGAAGGCUUUCGGGUCGUAAAACUCUGUUGUUAGGGAAGAACAAGUACAAGAGUAACUGCUCGUACCUUGACGGUACCUAACCAGAAAGCCACGGCUAACUACGUGCCAGCAGCCGCGGUAAUACGUAGGUGGCAAGCGUUAUCCGGAAUUAUUGGGCGUAAAGCGCGCGCAAGCGGUUUCUUAAGUCUGAUGUGAAACCCCACGGCUCAACCGUGGAGGGUCCUUGGAAACUGGGGAACUUGAGUGCAAA
rnacentral:rRNA from 1 species